UAUAGAUAAUAAUAAUAAGUGAAAACAAUCUCUUUCUUUACAGCUUAGCUCCUGUACAUUUUUUUUCUCUCUUGGUAUACAUAUACAUAAAUAUCAGUACCAUCCCUGGACCCUGAUUAAGAAAAAUAAUUUAAUCCAUGCCAAGUGUAUAUCUACAUAUUAGUCGAUUCAAAUUGUUUUAAAUAAUUUAAAAUUGUUUUGAAUCAUUUCAAAUAAUUUUUCUCAAUCAGGGAUAUCAAGUAUAGUAUUUUGGACCACAAAGAGUCAAAGAGGAAAGCAGAAAGUAAAGUAAUAGAGCAUCGAGUAUAAUGUAUUUGUCUAAUAUGUACACCGCAGUCCAGCCCAGUCCUAUAAGAGAAAGAGAGAGAGCGAGAAUUGCAGAGUGUAAAAGAGCAUGUAUGUAGUGAUUCCUCUUGAUUCGCAUUCACGUUCGCGUUAGCGAGCGCAAGGCCGUCACGCCGUCUAUCUGUUGACACUCUGACUACUAUCAUACUGCCUAUAGGGAAGAACAAUUAAAAUUUCGACCUAUAUAUUACGUGACCUUGUCCGGUCACCUGCUAGGGUCACGUCAAUCGUCAAUCUUACUUGUGGUCAGGAGUGAGAUGUAUGUAGUGUGUUGAUUAAAUGUAUAUGUAUAUAUGUAUAAAGUGAAAUGGAAAGAGAGAUCGACGAUCGAGUCAAAAGGGAUCAGUGAAAUUUAGCCAUCUUGCGUCGGGACAUCGCACUUACGUCCAUCUGAUCUCAUUCGCCAAUCACAGUAACAACCGCGAUGAUUACAAUCACGCAAGUCAACUUAUAUUAUUAUAUAUGUAUACACAUUUAUAUGUAAUAUAGAUAUAUAU